GAUGAAGCCAGAAAACAGAAGCAAAAAAAACCUUCCUGUCUGCCGACAUUACCGCUUCACCCCUGAGGAGGAAGCCUAUCAGCCCUUUUUUGCUGAAACCCUAUAUGGCGAAAUGAAAAGUGAAGGAAUCCCAUUUCAUGGAAUGAGAGGCCAAUCUUUAAUUGCUUUCCAGGGAAUUUCUGAUGAUCUCAGGUGAGCGCAGAAAACAGCCUGACUAAUGGAAACAUGAUCUCAAGAGAUUCCUUCAGGAUCAUACUUAAUCCUGGUUUGGACUGUGGACAUAGCAUCGCCUGCAGCAGAUGUUUGCUCCUGGCAUGGCUGCAAACUGCAUGAGCUCCAUCACCGACAAUCCAGUUCUCGGGAUGCAUCGCCAGCAGCUUGGACACGGAGAAGCUGUGACACAAACUCAGCAGGACAGUGGAGUGUAUUCUGCUGCUCGGAUAUUAUGGAACAGACCGGUCAACCUCGUCUGGAGAGGCACUCGAUAGGAAAAUCAGCUCUAUGAGGCUACGAUUACCGCGGUUACCACAAUGGAUCUACACAUUGUUUGACUUUUUCUAAAUUGAACCUGGAUUAAUAUUUCCCUGUAUAUACAUCUGCUUUUGAUAUUCAGUGUUUAUUCCCGCUGUUGCUCAUUCCCUGCACUUAUAUACUGUGUUAUUCUGGAUACAGUAUCAACAAAUGCUGGAACAGUAAACGGAAAAUAAUCAGCUGUUAUUUCCUCUUUAGGUCUAUUAUUUUUACAGGAGGAAGGCAGCACUUACACCAAUCUCGUAAGGAGCAAACUAAAUGUUUUCCUGUUGAAUUAAUUAACACACAUAGGAAUUGUCACAGGGAUUACUCAAUUAAUAAACAUUCAACAUCUUCCAAUUAAGAAAAGAUAAUCCUUUAUUAGUCCAGCAGCAGGGAAAUUACAACAAUUGCCUUCACAAUGAAGCCAUUGAACCAAAGGUGCUUAUGAAUACAACUAUUGACAACUCUUUGGGAGUCUUGUUCAUUCUGGUUGAGGAAUCUUUUCCAACUCUUUGAUCUGAUAAAGACGUAUUGCUUCAUCGGACUUGUCUGUGUAACCCUCGAACAGAAAUAAAAAAGAAAAGGUG
ensembl:lncRNA